UAUACAGGAAAUCUGCAUAAACCAUGGGUUCAACCGAUGGUUUUUAAAACCACCUUCGUGAAUUUGGACCUAAAUGUUACUCUUUGACUACAAGGAACAUGUAGGGUGUGUGCAGAUUAGAACACCUCAGAUGUAGGGUGUAGGGUGUGUGCAGAUUAGAACACCUCAGAUGUAGGGUGUAAGGUGUGUGCAGAUUAGAACACCUCAGAUGUAGGGUGUAGGGUGUGUGCAGAUUAGAACACCUCAGAUGUAGGGUGUAAGGUGUGUGCAGAUUAGAACACCUCAGAUGUAGGGUGUAAGGUGUGUGCAGAUUAGAACACCUCAGAUGUAGGGUGUAAGGUGUGUGCAGAUUAGACACUUAUUUGUCAGGUGCCAUAUUAUGGUAGUCUUGUUUUGCUGCAGGAUGGGUAGUACAUAUAUACUCAAAAAGUGUUAAUAUAUUUUUUUAUCCAUGUAAAUACGAUAUGUCAGUUGGUAUGCAACUUUGCAAAGUGUAAUGAAAACUAUUCAUCAUGUAGAUUGAUUUGAUGGAAGAGCCAUGAUCAACCUAAUUAUUAAUAUUUGCUCUAUUAAAGAAAGGAAAUUCUCACAAUUUUGUAAAAAGGAUUUGAAAAAAAAGAAUUAUGAGGAUUUGAAUGUUCUACUUUCAUAAGUGCUCAAGUAUUUUCUUUAUUCGGUCUUAUUUUUCAACAGAUAUUCAUUUGUGUUGGACCCAUUCUCAAUAAGUUUUUAAUCCCCCAGUAAGUGAAUGAUUAUAUUUGAAAAAUAAAUGUUUUCUAAACAAAAAAAAAGGUGAAAAGAAAUAGCGAUUUUCUGAAAUUGGGGUAGCAUAUUAUAAAUGGUCUAUAUUCAGUUCUUCCAUUUAUUUCUAUGAUUUAUUCCUAAUGUUUACAAAAAAAUAUUUGAAGAUAGUUGCUUUUACGAUAUAAGUCAUAAUUGUUAUUGAUGAAUUAUGCACUGCCUUACAAAUUUAAAACGAUGUGCUUUUUUUAUUACCUCACCUUGAUAAGUCUUAAAGUCUUUUGAUCAUAGCUGCAAUUUUUACAAGAUACAUUUUCCUUAAAAUUGUAAUUAAUAUAUUGUUAUAUAUUGUUUUGCAAGUAUUCAUGUUUGUAAGAAAUUGUUGCCUUUUCUUAGUCCUAUGCAAUAACAUAUUUGUUUUCUAUUUCAAGGUAUUCAUUGUGAUUGAAGUCAUUAGAUUGUUAUGUGUGUGUGCCGUGCCAUAACGAACAAACCUUGACUUUUGUAUAUGAAUAAAGAGCAUAUGAGUCGUAUCAAA